rnacentral:tRNA from 1 species
CAGUAAUUUAAAUUUAAUAUUAUAAACCUUUUAAGUUUAUAAAAUUAUUAUUAUUAUGUAAUAUUUGCUGA